rnacentral:rRNA from 1 species
UACGGAGGAUGCAAGCGUUAUCCGGAAUCAUUGGGUGUAAAGCGUCUGUAGGUUGUUUUGAAAGUCUGUUGUUAAAUACUAAGGCUUAACCUUAAAUCAGCAAUGGAAACUGCUAAACUAGAGAAUAGUAUGGGUAAAGGGAAUUUCCAGUGUAGCGGUGAAAUGCGUAGAUAUUGGAAAGAACACCAGUGGCGAAAGCGCUUUACUAGGCUAUUUCUGACGCUGAGAGACGAAAGCUAGGGGAGCAAAUGGG